GGUUCUGUAGUAAAAUUAUAUAACGUUAAAUUGCAAAUUUAAAAAUGUGAGGAAUCACUAGAACUU
rnacentral:tRNA from 1 species